rnacentral:rRNA from 1 species
CCUACGGGGGGCAGCAGUGGGGAAUAUUGGACAAUGGGGGCAACCCUGAUCCAGCCAUGCCGCGUGUGUGAAGAAGGCCCUCGGGUUGUAAAGCACUUUCAGUGAGGAAGAACGCCUGGUGGUUAAUACCCAUCAGGAAAGACAUCACGCACAGAAGAAGCACCGGCUAACUCCGUGCCAGCAGCCGCGGUAAUACGGAGGGUGCGAGCGUUAAUCGGAAUUACUGGGCGUAAAGCGCGCGUAGGUGGCUUGAUAAGCCGGUUGUGAAAGCCCCGGGCUCAACCUGGGAACGGCAUCCGGAACUGUCAAGCUAGAGUGCAGGAGAGGAAGGUAGAAUUCCCGGUGUAGCGGUGAAAUGCGUAGAGAUCGGGAGGAAUACCAGUGGCGAAGGCGGCCUUCUGGACUGACACUGACACUGAGGUGCGAAAGCGUGGGUAGCAAACAGGAUUAGAUACCCUUGUAGUC